UACGGAGGUGGCAAGCGUUGCUCGGAAUCACUGGGCGUAAAGGGCGCGUAGGCGGGGAGGUAAGUCGGGUGUGAAAUCCCUCGGCCCAACCGAGGAACUGCGCCCGAGACUGCUUCUCUUGAGUCCCGGAGAGGAAGAUGGAAUUCCCGGUGUAGCGGUGGAAUGUGUAGAGAUCGGGAGGAACACCGGUGGCGAAGGCGGUCUUCUGGACGGUGACUGACGCUGAGGCGCGAAAGCGUGGGGAGCAAACGGG
rnacentral:rRNA from 1 species